UGCGGAUAACGGGGGACGUGGCGGGCAAUAGAGGAACACGAAACAGCGUGACUGCGAGAGUGAGCAGCAGCCAUGGCGAUGCGAGCGGCGGCGGCGGCGGCGAGCUUCUUCUCGCCCUCCCCCGUCUCCCCAAGGCCCUUCUUCUUCGCCACGCCACUGGUACCAUCCCCCACCGGGCGCUCCAUCUGUCGCCGUCGCAUCUGCGCCUUCCCAGGCUCGGAAUUGACUCUGGAGGAGCUCAACCCAUCCGUCGAGCUACUUAGGAAAACUGCGGAGGCCGUCGGUGACUUUAGGAAGACACCAAUCUAUGUCGUCGGCACGGAUUGCACCGCCAAGCGCAACAUCGCUAAGCUCCUCGCCAACUCCAUCAUAUACCGCUACCUCUGCAGCGAGGAGCUGCUCGAGGACGUUCUUGGAGGCAAGGACGCCCUCAGAGCUUUCCGGGAAUCCGAUGAGAAGGGCUACCUCGAAGUCGAGACCGAAGGGCUUAAGCAGCUGACGUCCAUGGGCAGCCUUGUGCUUUGCUGUGGGGAUGGUGCUGUCAUGAACUCAACCAAUCUAGGGCUACUGAGGCAUGGUGUUUCCAUCUGGAUUGAUGUUCCUCUCGAAGUGGCGGUGAACGAUAUGUUGAAGAGCAUGGGGACGCAAGCUAGUUCAGAUCCAGACUCCUUUUCUCAGGUAAUGGGCAAGCUCCGUCAGCAGUACGAUGAACUAAAAGAGCGCUAUGGAGUUUCUGAUAUUACUGUUUCAAUACAAAAUGUGGCUUCUCAGCUAGGCUACAGCAGUACCGACUCAGUGACCCUAGAGGACAUGGUCCUUGAAAUUGUGAAGCAAAUUGAGAGGCUGAUCCGAGCGAAGGAGAUGAUGGAAUCUGCUGGAAGGCCCUUCUAGACAAGAGUUGCAAGGUUUAACUUGGGCAACAUUCUUCAUUUGCCCAGGCCCUUGCCUUUGGCUUUUCCAUGGGUUACUUGAUCUCUUGGGUGAGGAUGGUUCAGAUUCGUAAAAAUGUGUCAUUUGGGCUGUAAUCUCUUCCCACAUUGGAGUUGGUCUGAAGUCUGAACUGCUAAUCGGUCCAAUCCUCCGGUUCUAUCAGUCUAGCUGACCAAUGAUGCUUCUUUGGGUAUAUUUUCCAUAGCAUUCAUCGAAAGUUUGUCUGCGAUACGUUGUUUUGUUGUUGGCAGACCAUGAGUCUUUUUCUGAAAUUGCAAGUUGUCAAAUGCACACGGAGUAGUAUGGCAAUUAAAAAAAUACAGGGAAGGGAAUCAUACAUACAUUACACAGAAUGAAUGGAUAUAAACUGUAUUGAAGUAUUGCACAUUGUGGCCAAGCACCAGGUGCUAAAUAUUCAAAUUAUGGCCUCUUAUAUUUA